AAUGGGCGCAAGCCUGAUCCAGCAAUGCCGCGUGCAGGACGAAGGCCUUCGGGUUGUAAACUGCUUUUGUACGGAGCGAAACGGCUUUCUCUAAUACAGGGGGCUAAUGACGGUACCGUAAGAAUAAGCACCGGCUAACUACGUGCCAGCAGCCGCGGUAAUACGUAGGGUGCGAGCGUUAAUCGGAAUUACUGGGCGUAAAGCGUGCGCAGGCGGUUUUGUAAGACAGAUGUGAAAUCCCCGGGCUCAACCUGGGACCUGCAUUUGUGACUGCAAAGCUGGAGUGCGGCAGAGGGGGGUGGAAUUCCACGUGUAGCAGUGAAAUGCGUAGAGAUGUGGAGGAACACCGAUGGCGAAGGCAGCCCCCUGGGUCGACACUGACGCUCAUGCACGAAAGCGUGGGGAGCAAA
rnacentral:rRNA from 1 species